AUGAAUUCUGCCAUCUUGACUGCAUUUGCAAAUAUCUCAGUCCUAAUGCAGGAGAAGCAAGUUCUCUGUAUGUGACUGUCAACCCAGCUCCUGGUGGUCCUAUGAUUGUUUGGGUAUGCUUCCAGCACAGGUGUAAAAUGCAACAAGGUGGGAAGGAAACCCUUCUCCUGCAGCAGCACCUGGGGUAGAAGGCUUAGACAACACAAGUUCACUGCACCUGAAUUGGGUGAAGUUUUGCAAAUUCAAUGGUGUUAAUUAUUAGUAAUCCCUGUGAUUAUAUAACAGUACUCAUGGUGGUGAUUCUUUUUGCUGAACAGAAACUAUGCAGCAAGAGAGAAGUGGUUUCUACAAAGAAAACAGUUCUUCCUCACAUUUCAAGAAUCAGUGAACAUCGAUAUUUAAGUCUUGAGAUUCCUGCUUUUUUGGAGCUAACACUCCUUGACUGUGAUCAGAGAUUGGAUGUAUGUCACUUCCCUGUAGAUAUUCAACUAAGCACUUUAGUAAAAUUAAUUAAUCUAUAUUUGUCUCUAUUUUAUAUAUUAUCUCAGAA
rnacentral:lncRNA from 1 species